GAUGAAGAACUUAGCGAAAUGCGAUAAGUAAUGUGAAUUGCAGAAUUCAGUGAAUCAUCGAAUCUUUGAACGCACCUUGCGCCCUUUGGCCAUUCCGAAGGGCAUGCCUGUUUGAGUAUCAUGAACACCUCAACUCUCAUGGCUCGCCAUGAUGAGCUUGGAUUUGGGGGUCUUGCUGGCCUGUGGUCGGCUCCUCUCAAAUGGAUCAGCUUGCCAGUGGUUGGUGGCAUCACAGGUGUGAUAACUAUCUGCGCUUGUGGUUUUCCAUCAGAUAACCUUCAGUGAUGGAGGUUCGCUGGAGCUCAUAAACGUCUCCCCUAAGCGGGGACAGCCCUUUGAAUGUUUGAUCUCAAAUCAGGUAGGACUACCCGCUGAACUUAAGCAUAUCAAUAAGCGGAGGA
rnacentral:misc_RNA from 1 species